rnacentral:rRNA from 1 species
UACGGAGGGUGCGAGCGUUGUCCGGAAUCAUUGGGCGUAAAGGGCGCGUAGGCGGCCCGGUCAGUUCGUGGUGAAAGCGCGGGGCUCAACUCCGCGUCGGCCAUGGAUACUGCUGGGCUCGAGCACUGUAGAGGCAGGCGGAAUUCCGGGUGUAGCGGUGGAAUGCGUAGAGAUCCGGAAGAACACCGGUGGCGAAGGCGGUCUGCUGGGGUCGAACUGACGCUGAGGCGCGACAGCGUGGGGAGCAAACAGG